rnacentral:tRNA from 1 species
GGAAGCGUAUCGAAGAGGUCAUAACGGCCCCGACUCGAAAUCGGGUAAACCGGCGAGUAACCGGUCCGUGGGUUCGAAUCCCACCGCUUCCGCCA